AUGAAGCUCAACUCUAGCGCAAAAGAACUCUUCCAUUCUCCACAAUGUCUGGGUCAGAUCUACACACUAAACCCAUUACGAUGCUCUGCAGAACCAAAGGUUUUCUAUUCCACAAGCUCUACACUUCUUAGAAGGAUGUUAGUGAGUUGAAGGGAGAGGAAGAGAG